rnacentral:piRNA from 1 species
AUGUCAGGCCACAUGGAACAUUUUCCC